ACUCAGUUGGUAGAGUACAAAGCUCUUAACCUUGUGGACGUGGGUUCAAGCCCAU
rnacentral:tRNA from 1 species